GUGCAGUUGAGCCUCACCAAAUUUGAACAUCUUGCAUUCAGGUGAUUGCAGGAUGACUUCCCCCAGCCACGUGCUAACAGCAAAUGCUCCCAUGCAAUGUAUUCCUCUCGGUUGUUUCCAGGUUAUCAGGUGCAGGGCUGCUGUUGCCUGGGCCCCGGGCAAACCACUCUCUGUUGAGGAGGUUGAAGUUGCACCCCCAAAGACAGGGGAAGUCCGGAUUAAGCUUGUGGCCACAGGCAUUUGUCAAACAGAUGAACACCUUCGGCAAGGCCACUUUCCCAAGGCAGAAUUCCCAGUUAUCCCCGGCCAUGAAGGAGCUGGAAUUGUGGAAAGCAUUGGAGAAGGAGUGACCUCUAUGAAACCAGGUGACAAAGUGAUUCCCCUU